UCUCGAUCGAGCUGACGACUGCCACCUCCACACCUCGUCAGUCUCACUCGCUUCUCGCAGUUGGAGCCAUCCUCUCUUCUGCUGCCUGGCCUCGGUUACAUCGACGUCACGCAUCGUGCCGGCCAGCUUGGCCAAAAAUAGAAACUGAGGAGCAGAUGAAGUGACGUCGCCAGGCACAAUCCGAGCCUAGUGGCAGAUAAGCUUCAGUCACCCACGCACCGCUCCUCUUCCAGCGUCAGUCUCGAGUGAUUCAGCGAGCGAAGCAUUGACCCACAUGACCCGGGCGGUGCUCAGCGGGAGGGUCAGGACGAGGAUGGCAAGAGGUCUCCCGCGUGGGGGAGGAGCUCACCUGCCACAUGCGCCCGACCUGCCAUGACGUCAUUGGCCCUUACUCUCUAACCUGACUUAGUAUGACCUGACCUUUUUUCUCACAUGAUUGGGCACACACACACACACACACACACACACACACACACACACACACACACACACACACACGAGUGCUGGAUCAGGAAUAUCAACAAUUUUUCAUGACCCUAAUAAACCAAUCACUGUUCCA